GUUAUUUUAUACAGUGGGGUAGUAGUCCCUGCAUCUGAGAGCAGCAUCAACAACAGCAAAGUGAGCAAGAAGUCUGAUUAACCAUGAGAGAUCAAAAGAACCGCAGGACUCAAGUUUAGCCACGUGAUUAAGUCACAACCUGAACUGAACAAAGACAUUUUGGGUAGUUUCCAAGAGGAGGAGCUUCAAAUUAGACUUAGAAAAAAUGUUCUGCAUUUUAUACCAGAGAACAAAUACAGAGGAGAGAGAACAGCGAAGUGCUCCGUGUCUCUGCCUGCUAUUUUAACAAGAGGUCCUCAUGCUGAUAUGGGAAGACCUCAGGCCAUACUUUCAUCCAUUUCUUGAGGCUCAUAUGGAAAGGCAGUCCUGGCUGAGGUGCAUGGCUGGAGAGAGCUGCCUGAAAAGCACCUGGAGAACAAGAACUGGAGAAGGAUCCUCAUCUAUCCAAAAGAUGGAGAGAAGGCAACACACAGAGUCACAGGACAACCAGCUUUGGAGGCUUGUGCCACCUGUGGGAAGGGAUCAUUCCUGCCAGCGGGCUCAACCUUAUAAGAUAUAAGUUCAACCUCUAGUGGCUGCUUCAGCUGAAGAAGGAGCUUCUUGAAGGAUUCAGAGCCCUUUAGGGCUUGCUUGUGAGCUCAAUGCAAACUUGCAGAGCAUUUUCAGAUGCCAGUUUCCAUCAGUGCCACGCUGCAGGCAGGAGCCAGCUGUCUGUUUUCUCAUCUGCAAGAGGAAGGAGCUCUGCUCUCCCCUCAUUCCCAAGGCUUUUCAAGUGUCACAAGGAGCUCCUGAAGUACCGGAGCAGCCUGUCUGGGGGGACCCCUGCCCGGGCAGUGAAGACAGCACUUGCACUGAGCCAGCCAAGCAGCCUGGAAAAGGUGCCAGGUCACCUGCUGUGGUGGCACAUGACUGCCCCAUCAGUGGCCAGACAGCUCUGACAGGGGGUGCAUGAGGAAAAUGGCUCUCCGUGCCCUCACCCUUCCUCAUCUUAACCCCAGAGCUCGCCUUUCCUUCCGCCCUGGCAGCCCCACACCGUGUGAGCUCUGUGCACUUCAAAGGCUGCUCCUCGGGCACGGAGUAAUCCCAUCAUUACGGGGAGCCAGGGAUGUGUGUCUAAUCCCCGGCACGCUGGGGGAAGGGAGGCAGCGAGGGCAGCAACCUCGCAGUACCACACCAACAUCAACAGGGCACAAAACACAUGCCACGUGCUGGACAGCAGACUGGGAGACUGGGAAGGGCUGCUCCUGUGGCUGAGCACCAGUGCUGAUGCCAGCACUGUCUCCUGUCCUGCAAGCAGCCACUACACACUCCCCUCUAAUGUUUGGUGUAAUGCCACUUUUUAGCAUCCCAAAUAGUCCCUUUUUUAGAAGCCUCUGUAUUUCAGCAUUAAGUUGUCUGCCUUCCACUUACCUAACAUUUUUCUAUAUACAGAUUGAUUUUAUUGAAUUCUACUCCAAGCUACAGCAAUCUGAGAGGUUAAACUAAAACAUUGUAUCUGGCAGCUAAACAAAGAUAUUUCCAGUGCCUUCUAUAAUUUUUCUAGUGAUAGGGAAAUAAUGAUGUUUAUGUGGUAAUUUGAAAAACAAGCUUUGUUUCACCAUAAAUAAAAGUUGUUCUCUAGUCCA